rnacentral:rRNA from 1 species
GACGGAGGAGGCAAGCGUUAUCCGGAAUUAUUGGGCGUAAAGUGUCCGUAGGCGGCUUUUUAAGUCUGUUGUCAAAGCCCACAGCUCAACUGUGGAUCGGCAAUGGAAACUGGGGGGCUUGAGUGUGGUAGGGGUAGAGGGAAUUCCCGGUGUAGCGGUGAAAUGCGUAGAUAUCGGGAAGAACACCAGUGGCGAAGGCGCUCUACUGGGCCACAACUGACGCUGAUGGACGAAAGCUAGGGGAGCGAAAGGG